rnacentral:misc_RNA from 1 species
GAUGAAGAACGCAGUGAAAUGCGAUAAGUAAUGCGAAUUGCAGAAUUCCAGUGAGUCAUCGAAUCUUUGAACGCACAUUGCGCCCUUUGGCAUUCCGAGGGGCAUGCCUGUUCGAGCGUCAUUAUAACCCCUCAAGCUCAGCUUGGUGUUGGGGCCUGCUGCACUGGCAGCCCUUAAAAUCAGUGGCGGCGCCAUCUGGCUCUAAGCGUAGUAAUUCUUCUCGCUAUGGAGUCCUGGUGGAUGCUUGCCAUCAACCCCCAAUUUUUCUAUGGUUGACCUCGGAUCAGGUAGGGAUACCCGCUGAACUUAAGCAUAUCAAUAAGCGGAGGA